UUUUGUAACCCACUGUUGAAGGUGUCAACAGCUACACAUAAGAAGCCAGAAUAUAAUUAAAACUGAUUUUUCUUACCUAGUUCCAGAUUAUUGCUAUGGAUAGCAAUAUGCUAUGUUGCUCGUAGCAAUAUGCAAUAUUGCUAUGUCUUCUCAGUCAUCUAUUUUUGCACAAGAAGGGUACGCUGCUGCCUAGCUUUGGGGGCUUUAAAAUCCAGAAGGGCAUAUGGGGAGCCAGGGCAACUAUUAACAUCAUUAUGAAAUGGUGAUACAAGUUUUGGAAGCAGCAGGGGCUGCCCACGUGCUCUUUUUCUUUAGGAGACUGCUAACACUCUCCGAAAGUGCUUGUUUUCUUUUUGCUCCAUGAAACCAGGAGGAGGAUGGUCAUAUUGAAUCGGCAUCUCGUGAAACAGGACUGUCUCAUGGCGUGGAAGAUGCUUACUCAUGACAGGGAAGGGCAGCCAGCGUCACUAAAGGAGCAGAGAGCAAUAGAUAGACUCUUAGAGGUGUCCCUGUUUUAGGUGGUGCACUGAGCUCCAACUUAUCUUUCAUUUAAUGUGUUGUAAAUAAUGUUGCCUCCUACUCCUGUUUAUCUGUCCAGCUAACACUUCUAAGUGAUGGUGAAGAGGACCAGACACUGGUCUCAUCUUCACAGCAGCCCACAAGCCCAUCGACUUCCAUUGUUUCUCAUAUUUUGAAGUCAUCUGUUGAUUUUCUGAGCUGCAAGGCCUGUGCUGAAUCAUUUCAACAACUGUACUUGAUGUUUCAAAAACAUGUAAAAAAAUUACAGUUCUUCAAACAGAAGCAGCAGAGACCUGGCUCCACAAUGGAGUGCUAGAAAAAGAACACAAAGGUGGGCUGUAAGAUGAUACCCUCAUCCUUUCAUGGGGGGAUAAUUUGUAGCUAACUUAUGAAGUUGAUACACAAUUUGAGGAAAUGAGCAUCCCACCCAUUUUUCUUUGUGCUCUCCAUAGAAUUCACAUCCUUCCAUUUUUGUUUUUUGUUUCCUUGAAUUGUGCCUCAUAACUUAUGUCAUUGCUGGUUAGCUGUUGAUGCGUUAGGAAGGUUGUCCAGACAGUGACACUGCGUGGAAAUAGCUGAGCAGUUCAGACGAGAGAUUCAUAAUUCAUGGUGACCUUUAAUGAAAUGCAAAGCUAAAGAAAGCUGCUUUUAGUUUUACCACAUCUGAAACAAAGUGAGAACUAUUAU
rnacentral:lncRNA from 1 species